rnacentral:lncRNA from 1 species
UGGGCUUCAUCUAAAAUAUUCUGUCUUAAUCCACCAAUCUUUGGAAUCCAUAGCCGAUUCUUAAAUACUUUCAAUCCACAUGGAUCAUCAAGUAAAAUAUCAACAUAAUGUACCAUCCCUUCCUUCUUCACAUUUUCUGGCUUUAAGGCCUCUACUUGCCAUUUCUCUGGUUCAUCAAUGAUAGUGAACUUUACUGUAGUGUGAGUAAUAACAUAACACACACUAUUAUGAUAAACCUUUCUGCUAAGUGCAUCGGCAACUACAUUGGCCUUUCCAGGAUGAUACAAGAUUUCAUAGUCAUAGUCUUUAAUCCUCUCCAUGGCUCGCUGUUGUCUCAUAUUCAAUGUUUGCUGACAAAAUAUAUCCUUGAGAUUUUGUGGUUGGUAAACAAUUGACAUUUUGUACCAAAAAGAUAAUGCCUCCAAAGUAUUAGGGCAAAUACUACUGCAGCGAGUUCGAGGUCAUGGGUGGGAUAAUUCUUUUCAUACUCUUUUAGUUGUCUUGAAGCAUAGGCUAUUACUCUACCACGUUGCAUCAACACACAACCGAGUCCCAACCUUGAAGCAUCGCUAUACACGGAAAAAUCAUUAUCACCUUUUGGGAGUGAUAAGAUCGGAGCAUGAGUCAAAAGAUCUUUUAGAGUUGAGAAAACUUUUUCUUGGGCUUCACCCCAUUCGAACUUUACUUCCUUUCAUGUAAGACUUGUGAGAGGUACAACUAUGCGUGAAAAGUCUUUAAUGAAUCUCCGGUAAUGCCCCACGAGACCCAAGAAACUAUGAAUUUCAGAAGCAUUACGAAGCGCUUCCCAAUUCUGAAUGGCUUCAAUUUUAGUAGGAUCUACUGAUAUACUGUCACCAGAAAUCACGUGGCCGAGAAAUUGAAUUUGACGAAGCCAAAAUUCAUAUUUUGAGAAUUUAGCAUAUAAUUUCUCCUUUCGAAGAAGUUCUAAUAUUUCACGAAUAUGAAUGGCAUGAUCAGCUUCAGACUUGGAAUAUAUUAGAAUAUCAUCAAUAAAUACGAUGAUAGAUUUAUCGUGCAUUGGACGGCAUACCCGAUUCAUCAUAUCCAUGAAUAUAGUAUGAGCAUUUGUCAAACUGAAUGGCAUGAAAAGGAAUUCGAAAUGCCCAAAAUGAGUACGGAAAGCAAUCUUCAGUACAUCCUGCUCGUGUACUUUCAACUGAUGAUAGCCAGAACUCAAAUCAAUCUUUGAGAAAUAGCUAACACCCUAAAGUUGAUCAAACAAGUCAUCUAUGCUAGGUAGUGGAUACUUGUUCUUGAUAGUUACCUUAGUUAGCUCGCGAUAAUCAAUACACAUUCGCAUCGAUCCGUCCUUUAUCUUGACAAACAAUAUUGGAGCACCCCAAGGAGAGGUACUCGGUCAGAUAAAGCCUUUGUCAAGUAAUUCCUGUAGUUGAAUCAUCAUUUCCUUCAUCCCAGCUGGUGCAAGACGAUAAGGAGUCUUUGCAAUCGGAGCAGCACUAGGCAUAUGGUCGAUUUGGAAUUCUACUUGCCUGUCCGGAGGAAGUCCAGGAAAAUCAUCGGGUAAAACAUCAGGAUAUUCGUUAACAACGGAAAUAUUAUUUACAGUUUUCUUCCCUUCUUUUGAGAUAUCAACUGUAUAGGCCAGAUAAGUAGAACACCCCUUCGAUAUAAAUUUACGAGAUUUUAAGAAAGAGAUUAUUUUUAAGAUUUGAAGUCUUUGUUCACCGUAGACAUAAAUAGGAUUCUUCCCUUCGAUAGGAAUGCAUACUAUCUUUUCAUAGCACACGAGUUCUGCGCGGUUCUUUGACAACCAAUCCAUGCUAAGAAUAAUAUCAAAGUUAGGCAAGGAGAUAGGAAUCAGGUUAGCAAGAAAGUUAUAAUCUUCAAUUUCUAUGACAUAAUCUCUAUAGACUUUAUCAGCAAGUAAUGAUACACUUCCCUCUAUAUCUACAUGAAACGGUUGAGCUAGUGCAUAUCAAGCAAUUUGAAAAGAACGCGCAAAUUCAUCAGACACAAAAGAAUCUGUGGCACCAGAAUCAAAUAAGAUGUGAGAAGGUCUAGAGUUGACGAGAAAUGUACUGGUUACAACAUUAGGGUCUUCGUGUGCCUAUUCUGUGAUAAUCUGAAAUGCACGACCUUUAGCUUUUGGAACCUCCUCCUUUUUAGUUGGAGUACUCUUUGGUUGUUGAAUGAAAGCUUGACUCCCUGUCAUUUAACUAGUAAGAGUAGGGCAGAAGCGCUUCCUAUAUCCAGUAACACCACAAGCAUAGCAAGUAACAUUCUUCAUCGGGCAAACAGUCUUCAUGUGGCCUAUUUCUCCAGAUCCAUAAUAGAUCACUGAUCCUUUUUUUCUAAUCUUCAUUCGCCUUGAUGAUUCUUUCUACAAUUUCGACACGAUGGUGACUAAAGAGAAAAAGACUGUGACCUACAGCGGCCACGAGAGGUGUUAUGAGAUUGCACUUGUUUGCUGGGAUCAGAUCGAGCGGAUCAAGCUGAUAGAAUAGAGGAAACCGGAACAGUUCGAUCAACACGUGGAUGCUUCGGAACAGAAAGGCCGACACCACGUAUUUCUAAGUCAUGCUCGGGCUUUCGUGCAUACUCAACAACUUUAUCAAAUGACAGAACAUCCCUAUUAGCCACGAAAUCGCGGAUUUCAUACCGUCGUCCUUCCAGGAAUAACUGGAUUUUAUCGUCUUCAGUUGGAAUAUACUUUGCAGCAAAUCGUGCUUUUUGAUUGAAUUGAGUUUCAUAAUCAUUCACAGUCAUUCCUCCCUGUUUAAGCUCGAGGAAUUCUUUCUCUAAUCUUCUCCUCAUGUCUAGAGGACAAUACUUUCCUAACAAGCGAGUUUUAAACAUCUCCCAAGAUAAAUUAUCUUGGUCAUACUCGUUGAGAGCUUCGAAUGUUGCUUCCAACAAGACUAAGGCUUCUCCGAUGAGCAUUGCAGAAGCAUAAAUAGUCUUGUCUUUAUUAACCACAUGAGAGAUACGAAAUGCUUUUUCUGUGUUCUGGAUCCAUGUAAGAACUGAUUAGCUAAGAGAAGCCCUGGAGUAAGGCUUUAGCCUCAGCCUCCAUAUUAUUGCCCUGACCAAAGUUGCAUGAGAAUGUUAAAACAAUUAAACCUGCUGACUCUUUAAUGCAGCCACCUACUGCACUUAACAAACAAGAGAAUGGGCCAUACGGGUGCCUACAUUGUUAGUCUAUUUGAUUUACGGGAAGAGAUAUUUAUUGAAUAGAAAGAAUGAAACCUGUACCAGCUUAUCGCCAACCGUGCUUCCUACUAACUCCGCCUAUCCCAGACGGUCGGUCCUAUUGAUUUAGCCGCACCUGAACCCGCAACAGCUGCCUCUAGUCCGAAAGCAACUUACUUUUCUGAUGAAUCUUAGCUUGCUUUUUGAAUACAGUCAAAGUGGGACAUCCCUUGUUCUCGCAUUCCUUGCCCUUCACCCUCAGCUAGUUGCCUUCUUUCCUAGGGAAUUCAAUCACAUCGGAUCAGUGAGCUAAAGUCAGUCCCUCAACAGCUAAAGUAACUGCUUUAUCUGUCACCCUCCGUAAUUAAAGCCUGUCACCAAGCCUUAAGUCAAAAGAUCUGGUUUCAAGCCCUUUAGUUUAGGGCACCAAGUGAAUCAAAGCAAGAGCUUACUUAGAGCUCAUGGGAUUAAGAACACCAGAAAACUCCGUAGCACCAUUACUCUUGAAAGUUUUGAAUGAAGGACGUUUCACCUCCCUUUUGAAGAUUCUCUGGUGACUUUCUCUUUUCCUUUAUCACUAUCUUUUUUGUGUUCUUCGAGAGUCUUCCGAAUAACACCAGUAAGUUUAUGCACAAGUCGCUCCUCACGAGGGGAUACUGGAGUAUUUACUUCAUCAGUUUGAGGAUCUCCACCCAUAUCUGGU